GGCUGAGAUAGAUCUUUUGCAUGAUCUUGCAGCCUAUAGAUAAUCUGAUGGUGUAACGUAGCCAUCAUAGAGGAUGUGACUUGCGUUGCACCAGUAAGUUGGAUUUGGACUUUUAAGGCGGUGCUGAGAUGUGGAUCUCUGAGUGAGAGAUUGUAGUUCGGGAAGAAUGUCAAUACUAUGCUUCCAGCAUGCAAGGUGGUAUGGCACGUCCCUAUCACCGCAUGUUCAUACUGUAAGAACCUUGUGUCAAGAAGAGACACUCUUGCUGUUACUGGAAGUCCUCGUCUUCCAUGUAGACUGAGGAUAAGUCUAACAGCUCCAAAGAGGAGGUGAGAAAAUCCUUCUUGUUUCCAUCUGGGAAUGAGCUAAGGAGGGAUUUCUAAGGUCACAUACUGUUCAGCAGAUGAACUCUGAAGAGAGCAUUGAUCCAUUCUGGAG
rnacentral:misc_RNA from 1 species